GAUGAACGCUGGCGGCGUGCCUAAUACAUGCAAGUCGAGCGAACGGACGAGAAGCUUGCUUCUCUGAUGUUAGCGGCGGACGGGUGAGUAACACGUGGAUAACCUACCUAUAAGACUGGGAUAACUUCGGGAAACCGGAGCUAAUACCGGAUAAUAUUUUGAACCGCAUGGUUCAAAAGUGAAAGACGGUCUUGCUGUCACUUAUAGAUGGAUCCGCGCUGCAUUAGCUAGUUGGUAAGUUAACGGCUUACCAAGGCAACGAUGCAUAGCCGACCUGAGAGGGUGAUCGGCCACACUGGAACUGAGACACGGUCCAGACUCCUACGGGAGGCAGCAGUAGGGAAUCUUCCGCAAUGGGCGAAAGCCUGACGGAGCAACGCCGCGUGAGUGAUGAAGGUCUUCGGAUCGUAAAACUCUGUUAUUAGGGAAGAACAUAUGUGUAAGUAACUGUGCACAUCUUGACGGUACCUAAUCAGAAAGCCACGGCUAACUACGUA
rnacentral:rRNA from 1 species